rnacentral:tRNA from 1 species
AGGAGUUUAGGUUAACCUAGACCAAGAGCCUUCAAAGCCCUAAGCAAGUACAAAAUACUUAACUCCUG